rnacentral:rRNA from 1 species
CGCCUCUUGCAUUUUUUUAGAGGUCCAGCCUGCCCAGUGACUUUGUUCAACGGCCGCGGUAUCCUAACCGUGCGAAGGUAGCGUAAUCACUUGUUCUUUAAAUAAGGACUAGUAUGAAUGGCAUCACGAGGGUUACACUGUCUCCUUUCUCUAAUCAGUGAAACUAAUCUUCCCGUGAAGAAGCGGGAAUAAUUAUAUAAGACGAGAAGACCCUAUGGAGCUUUAAAUGAUAUAACACUUGCUAAUUUCCUAUAAUCUCCUGAUAUUUAAUCUUUAUCCAAGCAUUAUGAUUAUUAGUUUUGGGUUGGGGCGACCACGGAGCAAAAAUUAACCUCCACAUUGUAAAAUUUAUUUUUUAAGCAAAAAGUUACAACUUUAAGCAUCAAUAAAUUGACAUUUAUUGACCCAAUAUUUUGAUCAACGAACCAAGUUACCCUAGGGAUAACAGCGCAAUCCACUUUGAGAGCUCUUAUCGACAAGUGGGCUUACGACCUCGAUGUUGGAUCAGGGUAUCCCAGUGGUGUAGCCGCUACUAAAGGUUCGUUUGUUCAACGAUUGAAACCCU